rnacentral:rRNA from 1 species
AAAUUGAAGAGUUUGAUCAUGGCUCAGAUUGAACGCUGGCGGCAGGCCUAACACAUGCAAGUCGAACGGUAACAGGAAACAGCUUGCUGUUUCGCUGACGAGUGGCGGACGGGUGAGUAAUGUCUGGGAAACUGCCUGAUGGAGGGGGAUAACUACUGGAAACGGUAGCUAAUACCGCAUAACGUCGCAAGACCAAAGAGGGGGACCUUCGGGCCUCUUGCCAUCAGAUGUGCCCAGAUGGGAUUAGCUAGUAGGUGGGGUAACGGCUCACCUAGGCGACGAUCCCUAGCUGGUCUGAGAGGAUGACCAGCCACACUGGAACUGAGACACGGUCCAGACUCCUACGGGAGGCAGCAGUGGGGAAUAUUGCACAAUGGGCGCAAGCCUGAUGCAGCCAUGCCGCGUGUAUGAAGAAGGCCUUCGGGUUGUAAAGUACUUUCAGCGGGGAGGAAGGGAGUAAAGUUAAUACCUUUGCUCAUUGACGUUACCCGCAGAAGAAGCACCGGCUAACUCCGUGCCAGCAGCCGCGGUAAUACGGAGGGUGCAAGCGUUAAUCGGAAUUACUGGGCGUAAAGCGCACGCAGGCGGUUUGUUAAGUCAGAUGUGAAAUCCCCGGGCUCAACCUGGGAACUGCAUCUGAUACUGGCAAGCUUGAGUCUCGUAGAGGGGGGGUAGAAUUCCAGGUGUAGCGGUGAAAUGCGUAGAGAUCUGGAGGAAUACCGGUGGCGAAGGCGGCCCCCUGGACGAAGACUGACGCUCAGGUGCGAAAGCGUGGGGAGCAAACAGGAUUAGAUACCCUGGUAGUCCACGCCGUAAACGAUGUCGACUUGGAGGUUGUGCCCUUGAGGCGUGGCUUCCGGAGCUAACGCGUUAAGUCGACCGCCUGGGGAGUACGGCCGCAAGGUUAAAACUCAAAUGAAUUGACGGGGGCCCGCACAAGCGGUGGAGCAUGUGGUUUAAUUCGAUGCAACGCGAAGAACCUUACCUGGUCUUGACAUCCACGGAAGUUUUCAGAGAUGAGAAUGUGCCUUCGGGAACCGUGAGACAGGUGCUGCAUGGCUGUCGUCAGCUCGUGUUGUGAAAUGUUGGGUUAAGUCCCGCAACGAGCGCAACCCUUAUCCUUUGUUGCCAGCGGUCCGGCCGGGAACUCAAAGGAGACUGCCAGUGAUAAACUGGAGGAAGGUGGGGAUGACGUCAAGUCAUCAUGGCCCUUACGACCAGGGCUACACACGUGCUACAAUGGCGCAUACAAAGAGAAGCGACCUCGCGAGAGCAAGCGGACCUCAUAAAGUGCGUCGUAGUCCGGAUUGGAGUCUGCAACUCGACUCCAUGAAGUCGGAAUCGCUAGUAAUCGUGGAUCAGAAUGCCACGGUGAAUACGUUCCCGGGCCUUGUACACACCGCCCGUCACACCAUGGGAGUGGGUUGCAAAAGAAGUAGGUAGCUUAACCUUCGGGAGGGCGCUUACCACUUUGUGAUUCAUGACUGGGGUGAAGUCGUAACAAGGUAACCGUAGGGGAACCUGCGGUUGGAUCACCUCCUUA